rnacentral:ncRNA from 1 species
GCUUAUUUUGGGUCUAUAUGUCCUAUCGGAUUCAAGCUUAAUAGGGAAGUGCGGUUAGAUUCCGCUGCGGUCCCGCCACUGUUAACCGGAUGCCCGUGACUUGUACAAGUUAGUGUCGCGGACGAUCUCCAGCAUGAGCCACUGAGGGCGACAAACUGUCCUUCGGGAAGGAGCUAGGGAGAAAAACCGGAAGCCAGGAGACCUGCCUGUCUCGACGACACCAU